AGAUGCUAAGUUGUGCCAACUGUAGGAGCCGGCCCUUAGAAACCCCCCAGGAGAUGUUCAGCCCUCUUAGGCACAGGGACAGCUAUUUUCUUGAACACUUGCAGCAUUCGAAUUGAUGAAGAGAUUUUUACAAACAAAUACGGAGCCUUCCCAGCACCUCCAGAUGCACCAGCUACUCUUCUCAUGGUUGUGACCAAAUACACCAGAAGAGGCAAAUUAAGACAAGAAGGGCUUGUUUUGGUUCAUGGUUUGAGGCUAUGACCAUAAUGAAUAGAAGCCUGGCAGCGCGGGAGACUCUGAGCAUGGUGGCAGAAGCUUGAAGCUGCAUGUGCAUAUCUGAGUGGGUCAAGAAUCAGAGGAUGGAGUGUGAGCUGAGAGUAUAAACCUCAAGACCAUCCUACAGCAAUCUCUAGCAUCUAAAAGUGUCUAGAACCUCUCAAAAGAAUAGCAACCCUGGGGACCAAGUAUUUGAACAUAUGACCCUAUAGGCACAUUCUACAUCCAGACAGUGACUGAUUCUACUCUUGAAGUUAGACUUUUCUAUUGAUUUGGGCAUGAGUUUUCUUACCUCUUUUCUGUGUUAUCACCAGUCUGCCAUUAGACACUAUAGCAGGAGAGUUUUUAAAUUUCAGUUAUUUGUUAUCAAGUCUAAAAUAUGCACUUGUUUUCAUCUUACCAUUUACACUCAUCUGCUCAGGGUUCCUAUCUGUUCAAUCAUGAGCACUACAUUUUCCUUUAAUUACUUGAAAAUAUUUCUGCCAAUAGUUUUAAAGAAUUUGUCUCCUAAGAUCAGAAUCUAGGCCACCUCAAAUUAAGUUAUAUUGAAACUCUCUGUUUCUUCCCAUAUCUGGUAAUGUUUUGACUCAACAUCGGACUCUGUAAAUCAUUUAUUUAGCAACUCUGGAUUUUAUUAUCUACUAGAAUUGACUGGUUCUAGAAGGAAGUUCAGUUGUCAGAUCAUUGAGUUAACUUGUUUUUAUGCUCUCUGUGUCUGAAACUCUGGAUAGCAUGUGGGCCUUUAUAAACAAGUUAGAUUGUCAUCAUUCAUGUAUUCAUUGUUACAAAUGCUGGAGAUUCAACCCAAGGUCUUGUAUGUACAUGCUAGGCAAAAAAUUAUCUGCCACGUUCCUAGCUAACUCACUGGAAUUUAAUAUCUAAAAUAAAGAUUAAUGCCUGCA
rnacentral:lncRNA from 1 species